rnacentral:rRNA from 1 species
UCGGGAAUUUUGGGCAAUGGGCGAAAGCCUGACCCAGCAACGCCGCGUGAAGGAUGAAAUCCCUCGGGAUGUAAACUUCGCUAGGACGGGAAGAAUAAGUCAGUGCUAACACCACCGGCGAUGACGGUACCGUUUGUAAGCUCCGGCUAACUACGUGCCAGCAGCCGCGGUAAUACGUAGGGAGCAAGCGUUGUUCGGAUUUACUGGGCGUAAAGGGCGCGUAGGCGGCAAUUCAAGUCAUCUGUGAAAUCUCCGGGCUUAACUCGGAACGGUCAGAUGAUACUGCUUUGCUAGAGUGCAGAAGGGGCAAUCGGAAUUCUCGGUGUAGCGGUGAAAUGCGUAGAUAUCGAGAGGAACACCAGAGGUGAAGACGGGUUGCUGGGCUGACACUGACGCUGACAGCGCGAAAGCCAGGGGAGCAAAC